CACAUGGUGCGGGCCGGUGGGGGCAGGGCUGGCCCUGGCCGGUGGGGUGGGACCGGGGUGGGGCGAACCCUUUGCCCGGAGUCUCGCCAGCGACCGGACCGGGGUCUCCCUCCGACCAGCGGGGCCGGAGCAGGGUUUCUGCGCUGAAAUGGCCAGCCGGUGCGGAGCCAGGAUGGCGAAGGAGAUGCGGGCGCAGUACGAGCCGGUGGCGGAGAUCGGCGUCGGCGCCUACGGCACCGUCUACAAGGCCCGGGACUUGCAGACCGGCAAGUUCGUGGCCCUCAAGAACGUGCGCGUCCAGACCAACGAGAACGGGCUGCCGCUCUCCACCGUGCGUGAGGUGGCGCUGCUCAAGCGGUUGGAGCAUUUCGACCACCCCAACAUCGUCCGGUUGAUGGAUGUCUGUGCCACCACCCGGACGGAGCGCGAGACCAAGGUGACGCUGGUGUUCGAGCACGUGGAUCAGGACCUGAAGACGUAUCUGGACAAGACGCCGGCCCCUGGCUUGCCAGUGGAGAAGAUAAAGGACCUGAUGCGCCAGUUCCUGAGCGGCCUGGACUUCCUGCACUCAAAUUGCAUCGUGCACCGCGACCUGAAGCCGGAGAACAUCCUCGUGACCAGCAGUGGGCAAGUGAAGCUGGCGGACUUCGGCCUGGCCCGGAUCUACAGCUGCCAGAUGGCCCUGACCCCUGUGGUGGUUACCUUGUGGUAUCGCGCCCCGGAAGUGCUGCUCCAGUCGACCUACGCCACCCCCGUGGACAUGUGGAGCGUCGGCUGCAUCUUUGCCGAGAUGUUCCGGCGAAAGCCCCUCUUCUGUGGCAACUCAGAAGCCGACCAGCUGGGCAAGAUUUUUGACAUGAUCGGGCUCCCGGCAGAGGACGACUGGCCCCUGGACGUGGCCCUGCCGCACUGCGCCUUCACGGCACGCUUCCCGCAGCCCGUGGAAAUGUUUGUGCCAGAGAUGGAGAAGCUGGGGGCGCAGCUUCUCUUGGAGAUGCUGACCUUUAACCCCUACCAGCGGAUCUCGGCCUUCAACGCACUGCGUCACCUUUACCUCCAGGACAAGAGCCUGGUGGAGGGGUAACGCCCCAGCGCCCCCCUCUCCCCUCCACGGGGACCCAACGGAGGACUCGGGAUAGUGCCAGUUCUGCACCCGCCCCACGCCCCCGGGGGGGGCACAGCCACCAGCACGCACAUGGAGACGGACUCGAGCAGGGAGCGAGACGCCUCCUCCCCGGUGGCGUCUCCCCCCACCCCCCACGGGUGCCUGGUCCCGGGCAGGCCUAGCUCUGUUUAAGGUCAGUUUGUGUUGGGAAGGGGCCCGGCGGGGCCUCACCCGAGUUCUCACGGACACUUUGAGUAGCCCUUUGUAACCGUUUACAAGAUAACUGUUGCUGCCUUAUCACAUUCCAGCCUCCUGCCGCUGGUCUCAGCUCUUCCCACCCCGCUAGCGAGGGGCUGAGAGCAGCCCGACAGACCCCUCCCCCUCCCCACACUCGGGGCAGGCGUUUUUUUUUUUGUUUUUUUACAAGAAAUAUUCGCGCGCGGUUUUUCUACUACCAGGGCGGUGGCCAGGGCGAGCCGCCGGAUUGGUGCACGUGUGACAGUUGCUUCCCCGAGGGUGGAUUGGGGAAUCCCGGGGGGAGGAGGGGAUGUUCCCUCCCCGGGGCCGGGAAUCGACAGUUUAUAUUUAUAAUGAUUUUUCUCAGACACUUAACUUUGUUUUUUUUUUUUAUCGGCUCUAAAAAUGGAAAGAGUCUAAUAAAGGGAAGGCAGGGGGAUGGGAGGGCAGCGCCCGGGCAGACCUGGCUGCCCUCGCGUCUGGCCCCACCCCGGCCUGCUUUGCCACUUGGCUUGCC